CUUAAAAUGAACAUCAUGUAUUCUCAGCUUUGAGAACUGAAUUCCAUGUGUUGUAAUUGAAUCUCUGUCAGACCCAUGGGGCUCAGUUCUUCAGCUUGGAUAUCUCUGUCUUCACAUACACAG
rnacentral:pre_miRNA from 15 species